GGAGAGGUGGCAGAGCGGUCGAUUGCGACGGUCUUGAAAACCGUUGACCCGCAAGGGUCCGUGGGUUCGAAUCCCACCCUCUCCGCCA
rnacentral:tRNA from 2 species